rnacentral:rRNA from 1 species
UACUCCUACGGGAGGCAGCAGUGGGGAAUUUUGCGCAAUGGGGGAAACCCUGACGCAGCAACGCCGCGUGAGUGAUGAAGGCCCUUAGGUCGUAAAGCUCUGACAGAGGGAAAGAAAUGCGGGGAGGCUAAUAUCCUUUCAGCUUGACGGUACCCUCAAAGGAAGCACCGGCUAACUCCGUGCCAGCAGCCGCGGUAAUACGGGGGGUGCAAGCGUUGUUCGGAUUUAUUGGGCGUAAAGCGCGUGUAGGCGGUUUUUUAAGUCUGAUGUGAAAGCCCUGGGCUCAACCUGGGAAGUGUAUUGGAUACUGGAAGACUUGAAUACGGGAGAGGGCAGUGGAAUUCCUGGUGUAGGAGUGAAAUCCGUAGAUAUCAGGAGGAACACCGGUGGCGAAGGCGGCUGCCUGGACCGAUAUUGA